CUACACAUGCGCGCUCGGCUUCUGGCAGUUUUUUUUAUGGGUUGCGUUCUUCGGGAGGUUACGGGAAGGAAGAGUGACUGUGCGCAUGCGUGGGCACUCCCAGCCUCGGACUUCUAUUACCUUGGAGACGGAGAGGCGCUCUGCCUCCUUGGCCAGGGUGACUCACAUCUGGAGCAGUGAGCCAGGUUCUCAGCAUUCAAGAAUUUCUACAUCCCACCUCAGCGGUUCAAGUCUGGAAAAGUAAAUGGAUGAGCAAACUGUGCCUCAGAGGGAAGUAACCUCCCAAAGGUCACUUUGCCGCAACAGAAGACCUAGUAUUCAAACCAGGUGCUGAGGUUACAUCAGGGAAUAAAACAGACAAAAACACCUCUCCUCAUGGAAUAUACAUUCUCCUGGGUGAAGAGAGUCAACUAAUA